ACACAUGCAGUCGAGCGCUCACUUCGGUGGGAGCGGCGGACGGGUUAGUAACGCGUGGGAACGUGCCCUUCUCUACGGAAUAGCCAUUGGAAACGAUGAGUAAUACCGUAUACGCCCUUCGGGGGAAAGAUUUAUCGGAGAGGGAUCGGCCCGCGUUAGAUUAGAUAGUUGGUGGGGUAAUGGCCUACCAAGUCUACGAUCUAUAGCUGGUUUUAGAGGAUGAUCAGCAACACUGGGACUGAGACACGGCCCAGACUCCUACGGGAGGCAGCAGUGGGGAAUCUUAGACAAUGGGCGCAAGCCUGAUCUAGCCAUGCCGCGUGUGUGAUGAAGGCCCUAGGGUCGUAAAGCACUUUCGCCAGGGAUGAUAAUGACAGUACCUGGUAAAGAAACCCCGGCUAACUCCGUGCCAGCAGCCGCGGUAAUACGGAGGGGGUUAGCGUUGUUCGGAAUUACUGGGCGUAAAGCGCACGUAGGCGGAUCAGAAAGUUGGGGGUGAAAUCCCGGGGCUCAACCCCGGAACUGCCUCCAAAACUCCUGGUCUUGAGUUCGAGAGAGGUGAGUGGAAUUCCAAGUGUAGAGGUGAAAUUCGUAGAUAUUUGGAGGAACACCAGUGGCGAAGGCGGCUCACUGGCUCGAUACUGACGCUGAGGUGCGAAAGUGUGGGGAGCAAACAGGAUUAGAUACCCUGGUAGUCCACACCGUAAACGAUGAAUGCCAGUCGUCGGGCAGUAUACUGUUCGGUGACACACCU
rnacentral:rRNA from 1 species